UAUGUACUCCCUCCGUUCCAAAAUACUUGACUUCCAUUUGUCCAAAAAUGGAUGUACCUAUAUACUAAGACAUGUCUAGAUACAUAUAUAUUUUGACAAAUAGAAGGCAUGUAUUGUGCAAUGGAGGGAGUAGAAU
rnacentral:pre_miRNA from 1 species